rnacentral:piRNA from 1 species
UCAAUGACUGGAUCCACCAGUUGGG